ensembl:lncRNA
GUCACCAAUGAAGUCAUCACUAGAUACGGGUAAUGAUGUCAUCACUAGACACUGGUAAUGAUGUCAUCACUAGACACUGGUGGCAGGGUCUACAGUCAAUCACGGAUUACAAAAAGAAAAACAGCCCCGUCGCCGACCAGGAUGUCUUGCUCCCAGACAGACUAAAUAACUUCUUUACUCUCUUUGAGGACAAUACAGUGCCACUGACACUGCCCCUCUACCAAAACCUGUGGCCUCUCCUUCACUGCAGCCAACGUGUUAUUUAAACGUGUUAUCCCUCGCAAGGCUGUAGGCCCAGACGGCAUCCCCAGCCGCGUCCUCAGAGCAUGCGCAGACCAGCUGGCUGGACAUAUUCAAUCAAUCCUUAUCCCAGUCUGCUGUCCCCACAUGCUUCAAGAGGGCCACCAUUGUCCCUGUUCCCAAGAAAGCUAAGGUCCACAGACGACGCAAUUGCAACCACACUGCCCUAACCCAUCUGGACAAGAGGAAGACCUAUGUGAGAAUGCUGUUCAUCAACUACAGCUCAGCAUUCAACACCAUAGUACCCUCCAAACUCGUCAUCAAGCUCGAGACCCUGGGUCUCAACCCCGCCCUGUGCAACUGGGUACUGGACUUCCUGAAGGGCCGCCCCCACGUGGUGAGUGUAGAACAACAUCUCCACUCUGCUGAUCCUCAACACUGGGGCCCCACAAGGGUGCGUUCUGAGCCCUCUCCUGUACUCCCUGUUCACCCACGACUGUGUGGCCAUGCACGCCUCCAACUCAAUCAUCAAGUUUGCAGACGACACUACAGUGGUAGGCUUGAUUACCAACAAUGACGAGACGGCCUACAGGGAGGAAGUGAGGUCCCUCGGAGUGUGGUGUCAGGAAAAUAACCUCACACUCAACUUCACAAAACAACGGAGAUGAUUGUGGACUUCAGGAAACAGCAGAGGGAGCACCCCCCUAUCCACAUCGACGGGACAGUAAUGGAGAGGGUAGUAAGCUUUAAGUUCCUCGG